rnacentral:rRNA from 1 species
GAUGAACGCUGACAGAAUGCUUAACACAUGCAAGUCAUCUUGAACUUCGGUUUGGGUGGCGGACGGGUGAGUAACGCGUAAAGAACUUGCCUCACAGAUAGGGACAACAUUUGGAAACGAAUGCUAAUACCUGAUAUUAUGAUUUUAGGGCAUCCUAGAAUUAUGAAAGCUAUAUGCGCUGUGAGAGAGCUUUGCGUCCCAUUAGCUAGUUGGAGAGGUAACGGCUCACCAAGGCGAUGAUGGGUAGCCGGCCUGAGAGGGUGAUCGGCCACAAGGGGACUGAGACACGGCCCUUACUCCUACGGGAGGCAGCAGUGGGGAAUAUUGGACAAUGGACCAAGAGUCUGAUCCAGCAAUUCUGUGUGCACGAUGAAGUUUUUCGGAAUGUAAAGUGCUUUCAGUUGGGAAGAAAAAAAUGACGGUACCAACAGAAGAAGUGACGGCUAAAUACGUGCCAGCAGCCGCGGUAAUACGUAUGUCACAAGCGUUAUCCGGAUUUAUUGGGCGUAAAGCGCGUCUAGGUGGUUAUGUAAGUCUGAUGUGAAAAUGCAGGGCUCAACUCUGUAUUGCGUUGGAAACUGUGUAACUAGAGUACUGGAGAGGUAAGCGGAACUACAAGUGUAGAGGUGAAAUUCGUAGAUAUUUGUAGGAAUGCCGAUGGGGAAGCCAGCUUACUGGACAGAUACUGACGCUGAAGCGCGAAAGCGUGGGUAGCAAACAGG